rnacentral:lncRNA from 10 species
AGGUCACUCUCGGGUUUCCCGGCCACCAUAAAGGGCCACGUCUGCGGGAAAGAAGAGGGUGGAGGAGAGUUGUGAGAAGGAACCCCGAGGACUUCUGCAGCAGAGGAACCGGCUCUCUGUUUCCCCACUCCCAGAGUCGUGGCCGUAGAGGAGGGUGAGCGAGCGCUGAGGAAUUUGGUGGACACUAGGAAUUUAUCUGGGGAAUAGAGGGGCGGAUCCUUGCAGCCCAGGGAGGGGCCUGCCAGGCCCCAGCAAAGCGCUUAGACCCCUUUCACAACCGGAGGGAAACUCAAUGCACAGACCCUGAUUUGCAACUUGUAAUGUAAAUCAACUCAACUGCAUCAUGUACUUACCAGCCACCUUCUCCCAACUGUGGCCGGGGCCGAGAAGCAGCAUGUUCUGUCCAUCUGUAAAAGGCCUUCUUUCUCUCUUAAGACGUCACAACUGGUUGUUACUGAGAACUUUAGAAAAACGACUAGAUCGUUUGGCUCUUUCUGGGCCUUCCACCUACACUCCAUGCCCUCUCUCCUCCCAAGAAAACACGAAUUAAAAUACAGGGAGUAUCAACCGCAUCCUGCCAACACCUCAUAAGACUCCAAGGCUUUACCGAGAUCUUCCACCUUCCCCGGGAUAAAUGAAGACAAGUGCUUCCUAGAAUCUUUAUGGUGAUGGAAAAGAUAUACUAAAAGAAGACAGAUCAGUCUCUCUCCUGAUAAGAAGAGUCACCAAGAGGAACAUCUGCAACAACUAGAUGCUGCUACAAAGAGACCAAUCAACAACUGCUCAGCAGAGAUACAGAUCUGAAGCACAGAAGUGCAAUAGACCUUCCUGAUGCCUUCGCCAGACAACACGAACCUGCAAGUAAUCAUCCGACCAACUUCCUCUACUGCUUGGGAAUUGCAGGUUGUAUAAUCUUGGGAGGUCACUUCAACUAUACAAUUGGACUAAGAACACUGACUCUCGUGGGUGUUAUAAUUAAAUCAGACAUAAGCUGGCGAUGACUUUUUUGUACAAAAGUUACUGAUGAAAAGCUCAUAGAGGCAUUUGGAUUUCUUCAGGGUUGUAAAUCCAGGUAUGUUACUACUUUAUCUACUGGAAAUUGGGGUAAUGCAGGAGAUGGGAAAGCAUGAUGUUAAAUCAACUGGUGACCCCAAAUAAUUUUCCAUGGUGUUCAUCAGCCAUGCACACACUGUAUUACUGUCAUCAUUCCUAGCUUUUCCACUAUGCUGUCUCAAGUUUGCACAAAUUGUAAGUGAUUUUAAAUCAUUAACUGAUGUGACAUAAUCAAAUUACUUAGGGUUUUAUUUACUGUGCUCCGAGUAAUUCAGUUAUGACUUGGCAAGGUAUUUAACAGACAAUAGUGAAGUUACUACAAAUUCAACUUUGCAUUGGACAACUCCAUUUGAGGAUACCACCACCUUCAAAUUAACAAUUCCAGAAACUGGUCUCAGUAUCUCGUUCCAACAACAAGCAUCACCCACUACAAUAAAAACAGCAAGUAGAAUCUUUUUACUUCUUUUGUGUUUCUCAUCUCGGCAAACUGCACUACAAUCUACCAAACUGCCCGAGCCAGAAACCUAGAGGUCAGGCUGGAUUUUCCUGAGGACAUGAGGUGAAGAAGCAACCACUGCGAAGUACUAAGCAAAGGAUGGGUCAGAAGUAUGUGCUCUGGAGCCACGCAAAUCUGCUUCAAAUUCCAGUUCUGCCAUUUAGAUAGCAGAUACAGAAACCAUCUAGGAGGUCUGGUGUUGGAUACAACUAUUUGUACCUUGUAAAAUUCUUACCUCUAAAUCAUUAAAAAACAAAUGAGUAUCAGCAAGAUUAAAAAUCAUUUCUUCCAUGCGGAGUCCAAGGGUUACAGCCAUGGGGGGAUCCUGUAAAGAAAAUGUACACAUAAUGAGCUUACUAAGUCACUGGGACAGCUAAUUCUAAGUGAGCAGAUUACAGCACUGCAUUUUUCCAGCUAAAGGACUCACAGAUCCAAGAAUCCCAGAAAGAUGACUGGACAUUUGGUGGGUGUAGCCUUAGCAAUGCUGGGCACCCUCCAUCUUGCCAAACUGCUGUGAGGGAGCUGCCAGCACCUGCAAUUCCACUGUUUUAUCAGGCAUGUGAGAAUGAAACAUACUUCUGGAUUGAACCCAAGUUUUAUACAGAGAUGUUUGCUCAUUUUCAUUAGAUGUUUGUAGAAUUAUGGGCACCUUAUGAAUCAAGAGUUGCUUUUUUUUAAUUUGCAUUUAAGUGUAGUGAAUGUUGAGUUUAGGGUCUAAAAUGAGGUGAUAGCAAAAUCUUGGAUAGAGGAAAAAAGUGGGAUAAUAAAGGCACUAACAGGGUUUUGUGGAAGUUCUGAUAUAUAUUAUACAUAUUAUAACAGUUCCAAAAGGUUCAAAGUGUCUACAACAGAGUUUAAUAGGAAGCAAAUUGAACUACUGCCAAUUUAUUCUGUGUACUGCUCUAUCAAAAUACUGAAACUAUUCCCCAGACAUUUUACUGAAUAGAG